rnacentral:rRNA from 1 species
GAUGAACGCUGGCGGCGUGCCUAAUACAUGCCAGUCGAGCGAACAGAUGAGGAGCUUGCUCCUCUGACGUUAGCGGCGGACGGGUGAGUAACACGUGGAUAACCUACCUAUAAGACUGGGAUAACUUCGGGAAACCGGAGCUAAUACCGGAUAAUAUAUUGAACCGCAUGGUUCAAUAGUGAAAGACGGUUUUGCUGACACUUAUAGAUGGAUCCGCGCCGCAUUAGCUAGUUGGUAAGGUAACGGCUUACCAAGGCGACGAUGCGUAGCCGACCUGAGAGGGUGAUCGGCCACACUGGAACUGAGACACGGUCCAGACUCCUACGGGAGGCAGCAGUAGGGAAUCUUCCGCAAUGGGCGAAAGCCUGACGGAGCAACGCCGCGUGAGUGAUGAAGGUCUUCGGAUCGUAAAACUCUGUUAUUAGGGAAGAACAAAUGUGUAAGUAACUAUGCACGUCUUGACGGUACCUAAUCAGAAAGCCACGGCUAACUACGUG